UAGGUGUUGCUGUUCUUGCCUGUAGUUCUCAGUUGCUUUGCUUAUUCCAGGAAGGGCACACAAUGAAGAAUAAGGUUAAACGUGCCCUAAAAUGUGUGCAACAACUUCUACAUUUACUUCAAGUUGAUAUUUUUAACCCACUCAGAAGUUGGAAGCAAUAAAGGACUCCUGGCUUCAGCAGCUAACGAUUCAGCUGUGCAUAAAAAGAGCAUUUGCUAAUCAGAGGGGUUUUGAGUUCCUGUGUAUGAUUAUUCAUCCGCAUCACUACCAUGAAGUACUAACUUCAAUGCCGAGCUGAUAUUUGAGUCACUGUGAUGCUGCUGUGAAAAAGCACAGCGUUGGCAGCCCUUGUGAUUGGCAUGUAUGCCUUGCAAUGGCUGUGCUUUCCUCAGACUGCAGCAGCGUCUAAAGCUAGUUUCUAGAGUUUCUGCUCAUAUUAAACAUCUAUGUAUGUGAUUUUUAUAUAUGACAAUAAUAUAUAUUAGAGGCACAGGAGUGAUUCCUGUCACCUUUUCCGCUGCACUGCUCUGUGGGCAGCUCAGAAAGGCUCCUAAAACUCCCCAGUGAUGCAGCCGCCUGUACAAAGCCCGGCUCAUGCCAGUGAGGGAGUGUGGCCAUGGGCGUGGAGCUGGAAAACCAGGGGAAGGAACAGCCGAGAGGCAGUGCCUGAUGCAUGCGAGCUGAUGGGUCAUAUUGUUUGAGGCUAAACCCCGCAGAUACAGCAACUGAGUGAUUAAAAAGUGUAUUUAAAAGGAUGUAGUGGAUCAGAAUAUAAGUAUGAAAUAUGAUAUAUGACAUAUGGUAUAUGAUAUAUUUAAUAAGAACUUCAGUAUGUUUUGUUUGUUUGUUUGUUUUUAAUUAAUACUAGCUAUUAAUGUCACGUUCAUUGAAAAGACACACAUUUCUGGAAGUAUCCAAGUUGUAAUUAAAAAACAAAAAAAAAAAGACACUACAACAAUUCAUAAAGGUACUCCACGAAAUGCAAGUGAAACUGUGUAGAUUUGGUGUGUGUUUCAAUCAACCAGAUUUACCUGAAGCGGUGCAGGACAAAGCAGUUGCUUUUUUUCUGGAAAACUAUUAAGGAAGAGUAGGAAAUGGUGUUUGAUUUCAUAGGCUUGCCCUGCUCAUGUAAGAAUUAAGACUAAGGACUUUUCCCCAUACUUACACGCUGCUUGUACUGGAGAAGAAAUCACUACAGUAAACCAUACGGACUGAGUCCAAAAAGGGUAUUCUGUGCUCUGGUAGUAUUACCUGGUUUUCUGUUGUCUUUAAAAGCAAAGAAGAUCAAACCUCCCUCCUUUCAAGUGCAGGCCAAUGCCUCAUUCUGUUUUCAGCAUAUCACUUUAUUUUGAUCGCUACUACUUCUGUGUUUUCCUGGCUCUUUAAAAGGUCUCUUUGGAAGUCUUCAUUUGGCUAGUGGCUACCAUUACAUCUGCAUGUAUUACAGGUUAACAGAAAAGAAGGAAGCAAUGAGCCAAGGAGAUUCAUGCAAGAAACUGCUUCAACAGAGCCACCGAGACCAAGCAAAGGCUUUGGUAUUGCAAUGCAGAUGGACAACUGUAUACGUACAAAGUUUAAUUUUAUUUAGCCCUGCUAGAGCAAACAGAAGCAGAGUUGCUGCUUUCUUCCCCAGAGCAGAGCUAAUUUAGAUGAGAGAGGAAGGAGCUGCAAACAGAGGUGCCAGCAGGCUUUGAGGCCACUGCUUCAUCUCUGGAGCUCUGCUGCAGGCACCAGGCAGCUGGGAGGCUGCAGGCAGAGCGCCACCUCCCCAGGGUGGCUCCCACAGGGCCCCCAUGUUUUUGUCAGGUAGCCAAAGGCAGGGGUACAGCACCCAGCCCUUUGGGACAGACAUACAGCCAAGGCUUCGGAGACACGUGCCUCAGAGGCCCACAUGGUGUCCUCCCACUUUCUCAAGAGGAGAACUUGCCUUCCCAGCCCUGCUCGGAUGGAUGUGCUGGACUAACCCCUGUGGCGGGAUAAAUGAUCCACCACUUCAUGUUCAAUGCCUGCAGGUGAGGUGUUUGUUCAACAGGCGCAUCUAAGCCUAUCUGGAAAUGAACCAUAAAGCACGGAGGGGAAUUUUAUGCACCUCAGGAGCCAGUGCAAGUUGACUGGGAGCUGUAGGUGGUUCAAACAGAGGACCUUGAACCUGAACUAUAACACAAUUUAGCAGAACACGCCCCAAAAUAACCAUUUUUUAAAAAAACUUUCAGUCUCCACUGUCAAAAUAGAGAAACUCCAAACUGAAUUCAAAGUAGGUAAGUUACUCUGUAAGAGGAGCUACUGCAACUAUUGUACUUCAAGCACUCAUCACUAAAUCUAACUGUACGUAGACAUGAACACACCCCAGAAACACCGUUUUGACAGAGGUGUCCGAAUGACAUUGGCAAAGCUUCAUACCGUUAACUUUACGUGCCCCAGCCUCCCAAGAGAAAGGAAAAGUAUGCAGAAGCUGAAUAAUGAACUGGAUCCGUCAUGACAGAUAAUUCAAUGGGGGAGGAAGAGAAGAUAAGGGUGGGGGGAACACUCCAAAACCAGUUUCUUUAAAAAUUAAUAGUAUUUAAUAUUUGAAUGCAUCAGGCUAGCACUGCUAGACAAAUUGCAUGAUGAAUUCUAGAGGAAUAAAACAUGAAUUAAGUACAAAAGCUGGAGGAAAAAAGCUCAUGCUUUCCAGAGACAAUGAGGUAUUUUAACUAUGUAAAGUCUGAACAUCCAAAAAUAUCUGUAGUCAUUUGCACUGGGAUCUUUGCUGACCACUGGGCAGUCAAUAGUUCUUUCUGUGGGUGCUUUUUAAAAGGCCCAGGGAAAGUGCACAGCCGUCUUGAGGAUGAAGAACUUCUCACAUCCAUCUUGCUACACAUUUAGACUAGUAGCUUGAAAAUGUUCUAUCACUUUUUCAAGUCAUUCUGAUGUAUGGUGGAGGUUUGGAUGUGUCUUCCUCUGUGUCAACGUCCUGGACUGGAAACCGAUCUGGGAAAUUGAAAAU